rnacentral:rRNA from 1 species
GGUGAACGCUGGCGGCGUGCUCAAGACAAGCAAGUCGAACGGCAGUCUUCGGACUGUAGUGGCGCACGGGUGAGUAACGCGUAACUGACCUACCCCAAAGUCGCGGAUAACGAUUCGAAAGAAUCGCUAAUACGUGAUGUGCUGUCAGAUUGUGUUCUUCCAGUAAAGAUUGAUUGCUUUGGGAUGGGGUUGCGUUCCAUCAGCUAGUUGGUGGGGUAAAGGCCAACCAAGGCGACGACGGGUAGCCGGCCUGGGAGCGUGGCCGGCCACAGGGGCACUGAGGCACCGGUCCCACUCCUACGGGAGGCAUCAGUUAGGGAUCGUCCUCAAUGGGCGAAAGCCUGAUUGAGCGACGCCGCGUGAGGGAUGAAGGUCUUCGGAUCGUAAACCUCUAAAUCAGGGACGAAAGAAACUUCGGGGGGAUGACGGUCCCUGAGUAAUAGCCCCGGCCAACUCCGUGCCAGCAGCCGCGGUAACAC